CCUUGUUGUUAGGGGAGUAUGCAAAGGUGAAACAGGUGACUUAUCCGGCCUAUGGGAUCUUUCUAAAUUCCUCCCAUAUAUAGUGAGGUCAGGGUUCAGCUCUCUCUCUCUUGUACAGUUUGGUGAAGUUCCUGACGUCUGUCUGUGAGGUGAUUCUGAAGGAGGCCUGAGGCCUAGUCCAGCAACCAUCUACUACAAGUUAACCCCACUACCCAGGUGAAAGUCAUAGCCUUGUGAAAAAAACACCCCAUACCAUCCAGAACACAAUCCUGUCUGGCUACAGCAUCAUCUCUGUCCACAGGCAGGGACAACAUCCAGUAAGUGAGGGUGGGACUAGCACUCCUCUGUGCUCACUCCUGUCCUGUCAGACUGCAGUAGGAAGGACAGGGUUACAGAGCAGCCUGCAGUGUUUGGAUUAAGAGACCCAACACAGCACAGCAGACUCAGGGAGGAAGAUAAGUCAUGCAGAGUGAGGACACGCCCCCUCCAGAGCACUAAAUGAGCAACAGAUAGAAGAAGUUUAAUUACCAUAUGUGAAGACAACCCAGAAGAGCAAACAGUAUUCCGGAGAUCAGGGACACAGGAACAGCGCAGAGCAGGGAGAUGAUACGGUAACACCAAAGCUUCGAGGACUCAAACAGAAUGUCG